rnacentral:rRNA from 1 species
AUUGAACGCUAGCGGCAUGCUUUACACAUGCAAGUCGAACGGAGUGUCGGACGGGUGAGCUAUGUAUCUGAACGUGCCUAGUAGCGGGGGUUAACUACUCGAAAGAGUUGCUACUACCGCAUACUAUUGGAGCGGCCGAUAUCGGGUUAGCUAGUUGGUGGGGUAAAGGCUCACCAAGGCAACGAUCCGUAGCGGGUUGGAGAGGACGACCGGGCACACUGGAACUGAGACACGGCCCAGGCUCCUACGGGAGGCAGCAGUGGGGAAUUUGGGACAAUGGGGGAAAGCCUGAUGCAGCCAUCCCGCGUGUAUGAUGAAGGCCUUCGGAUUGGAAAGUACUUUUGGCAGAGAAGCGGUAUCUGCAGAAUAAGCACCGGCUAACUACGUGCCAGCAGCCGCGGUAAUAC